CGCGUAGGCGGCCGUUUGCGUCGGAUGUGAAAGCCCGGGGCUCAACCUCGGAACGGCAUUCGAUACGGGACGGCUGGAGACCGGGAGAGGAGAGUGGAAUAGCCAGUGUAGAGGUGAAAUUCGUAGAUAUUGGCUGGAACACCGGUGGCGAAAGCGGCUCUCUGGCCCGGUUCUGACGCUGAGGCGCGAAAGCGUGGGGAGCAAACA
rnacentral:rRNA from 1 species